rnacentral:rRNA from 1 species
AUUGAACGCUGGCGGCAUGCUUUACACAUGCAAGUCGAACGGCAGCGCGGGCUUCGGCCUGGCGGCGAGUGGCGAACGGGUGAGUAAUGCAUCGGAACGUGCCCAGUAGUGGGGGAUAGCCCAGCGAAAGCCGGAUUAAUACCGCAUACGACCUGAGGGUGAAAGCGGGGGACCGAAAGGCCUCGCGCUAUUGGAGCGGCCGAUGUCGGAUUAGCUAGUUGGUGGGGUAAAGGCUUACCAAGGCGACGAUCCGUAGCUGGUCUGAGAGGACGACCAGCCACACUGGGACUGAGACACGGCCCAGACUCCUACGGGAGGUAGCAGUGGGGAAUUUUGGACAAUGGGGGCAACCCUGAUCCAGCCAUGCCGCGUGCGGGAAGAAGGCCUUCGGGUUGUAAACCGCUUUUGUUCGGGAAGAAAUCCUCUGGGCUAAUACCCCGGGGGGAUGACGGUACCGGAAAAAUAAGCACCGGCUAACUACGUG